UUUACUAAAGCGAUAUAUUGCAUUAAGUUUCGACCUUAAAAUAGAUUUUUUUUUCUAGUAAAA
rnacentral:tRNA from 1 species